CCCCUCUCAGGAUCACGCUUUGAGGGUUUUCCGUACUCUACCAGCCUCGACUACAGGUGGGAGGGUCAAGCAGAGGCAUACCCAUUCCAUUCCUAGCUUGGGCAGUGGCUAGCGAGUGGAAGACAGUCUGCUACAAGU